rnacentral:rRNA from 1 species
UGUAAGGCGCCGAAUGAGUCAUUAAAAAAUAACAUCAUCCGAUCCCUAGUCGGCAUAGUUUAUGGUUAAGACUACGACGGUAUCUGAUCGUCUUCGAUCCCCCUAACUUUCGUUCUUGAUUAAUGAAAACAUCCUUGGCAAAUGCUUUCGCAGUAGUUAGUCUUCAAUAAAUCCAAGAAUUUCACCUCUGACAAUUGAAUACUAAUGCCCCCAACUAUCCCUAUUAAUCAUUACGUCAAUCCUAGAAACCAACAAAAUAGGAUCGAACGUCCUAUUUCAUUAUUCCAUGCUAAUGUAUUCAAGCGUUAGCCUGCUUUAAACACUCUAAUUUUUCAAAGUAACAGUCCAGUCUCCCCGCAACACCAAAUUAAUGGCAUUACGGUUCAUCAGGAAGAAGGAAUCAGUAAGACCAGUACAUACCAGUGGCACGACCAAUCUACUAACCCCGAAAUUCAACUACGAGCUUUUUAACUGCAACAACUUUAAUAUACGCUAUUGGAGCUGGAAUUACCGCGCUGCU